GGCGCCGUGGCCAAGUGGUAAGGCAGAGGUUUGCAAAACCUCCAUUCACCGGUUCGACUCCGGUCGGCGCCU
rnacentral:tRNA from 1 species